CCUACGGGUGGCAGCAGUGAGGAAUAUUGGUCAAUGGGCGCGAGCCUGAACCAGCCAAGUCGCGUGAGGGAAGACGGUCCUAUGGAUUGUAAACCUCUUUUGUCGGGGAGCAAAAGACGCCACGCGUGGCGUUCCGAGAGUACCCGAAGAAAAAGCAUCGGCUAACUCCGUGCCAGCAGCCGCGGUAAUACGGAGGAUGCGAGCGUUAUCCGGAAUCAUUGGGCGUAAAGCGUUCGUAGGCGGCAAGGUAAGUCUGAUGUUAAAGCCCGGGGCUCAACUCCGGUUCGGCAUUGGAUACUAUCUAGCUAGAAUGUGGUAGAGGUAAAGGGAAUUCCUGGUGUAGCGGUGAAAUGCGUAGAUAUCAGGAGGAACAUCGGUGGCGAAAGCGCUUUACUGGACCAUUAUUGACGCUGAGGAACGAAAGCCAGGGGAGCAAAUGGGAUUAGAUACCCCAGUAGUC
rnacentral:rRNA from 1 species